UCCAGAGGUCUCUAGCGUUGUUCGGAUUCAUUGGGCGUAAAGGGUGCGUAGGCGGCGGGGUAAGUCUGAUGUGAAAUCCCGGGGCUCAACUCCGGAACUGCAUUGGAUACUGCCUUGCUAGAGAACUGGAGAGGAAACUGGAAUUUACGGUGUAGCAGUGAAAUGCGUAGAGAUCGUAAGGAAGACCAGUGGCGAAGGCGAGUUUCUGGACAGUUACUGACGCUGAGGCACGAAGGCCAGGGGAGCAAACGGG
rnacentral:rRNA from 1 species